CCGGCCCGUUAUUAGGCCUGCUCUCGAAGCUAGGGCGGGUAAGAACCUUCACCAUCCCCGUCUCCCAGAGCUUUAUGAACAAAAGAGAUCACGAGAGCCAAUCGUGGAGCGGCAAGAGUCGUAAAUCCAUCCGCUUCACGAAACCCUAACUCCCUCGCCAGAAUCCGGAUUUGAUGGAGGGAAUUGGAAGUGAGGGCGGAGCAGCGGCGGCGCCACUAGCCCAAUGGCGGAGCGAUUUUGCGAGAGCAUUCCAGUACUAUUUGGAUCGAUCAACGCCUCACACUGUGAAUAGAUGGCUUGGAACCCUAGUUUUGGCUAUGAUUUACAUUCUGCGUGUGUACUAUGUUCAGGGGUUCUAUGUUGUCUCCUAUGGCCUGGGGAUCUACGUCUUGAAUCUCUUGAUUGGUUUCUUCUCGCCGAAGGUUGACCCGGAGCUUGAGUCCGUGGAUGGGCCUUCAUUGCCAACAAGUGGUUCUGAUGAGUUUAAGCCUUUUGUUCGCCGCCUUCCCGAGUUUAAGUUCUGGUAUUCCAUCACAAAGGCAUUUGUUGUUGCAUUCAUCAUGACCUUUAUUUCUCUGCUGGAUGUACCUGUUUUCUGGCCAAUACUGCUAUGCUACUGGAUUGUUCUGUUUGUCCUCACAAUGAAACGGCAGAUCCUACACAUGAUCAAAUACAAAUAUGUUCCAUUUGAUAUCGGGAAGAGGCGAUACACUGGAAAAAAGUAGUCUGAAUGGGAGCGGCUUUUCUACAAAUCUGAAAUCAAAUGCUGCUGAUUUGAAGAACCUUGAGUGAAAGCAAAAUGAUAAAUUUGGGCUUUUAAGUAUGUUUGAAGGCGGAAAGUAAUGAUCAACUCUCAACGAGGGCAUAUAAACUACACGUACUCCCGGUGGUUGGAACUCUUCCGGUGUAUGCUCAUGAACUUGGCCACAAAUUCUGCAUAAAAAGUGCAUGAUUAACCUGUAAGCUUACUACAGAAGUGGAUUUGUGCCAAAUUAUUGAAUGCUUAUAUAAUUGGAUGCAGAAUUUUAGUGGUUUGCAUAUGUUACCUUCUAGUUUCAGUAAUGCACUCGCCCCUGCGGGGAGUCUUUUCUCCUGCGAGGACAAGAUUUGAGUCAGUUUAUCAUCCAUCUCUGAGAGCGAAAGAAGAAAUGAGGGAGAGAACUUACGUAGUAAGCAUGCCAGUAAUAGAGUUCCCUCUUAGAACUAGAUGCUACUCCCUUUAGGAACUGUUCCACGAGCUUCUGCAUUUCGGAAAAUGCGAACUCCAUCACAAAAUUAUACUUUGGUGACUAACUAGAUAUGAACAAAUUUGAGGUAUUGAUGCAGUACCAGUAGAAUCAGUUUCGGAUGGACAAAAUCUAUAAGAAGCUUUUGAAACUUUCCCCGGAUGAAAAAUAAUCUGGCAAAAGAUUAAUGCGGAAAAUCAAUUCAAGCAUAGUGGGAUGCUGUUAGAUGAACGGUGUAACUGAGUUAGGUGUGACAACUCUCGUGGGUUUCACGUCGGUGAAUGACUUUGAGAUUCACAUCAUUCAACGGAUGCCAAUAAAAUGAUUACCUCUCUCACAGUCAUUCACCAGAUGCCAAUAAAAUGAUUACAAUGAUUACCUCUUGGGUGACGGAUCGGCUAGGAUUUCUGAAGCGAGUUCAAGCAGCACCUCUUCCCAUCCAAGUGGAAUUGGUUGUUCAUCUUCAAAAGGAUAGCUGCAUGGGCAAAGCUCUUUGUAAGUUGACUUUACAAUAAACUCAAAAUUCCCAACAAUUGUAUUGGCAUAUGUUCUCACUUGUGUGCUUUGCAUGCUUCAAGACCCAUGAUUGCUUCUCUCAGAUUCUGCUUUGAUUCAUUUGCAAUCUUACUAGCAAAGCUCAUAGGUAGGUCAAAGUCCUCCUUGCUGGCUAUCUGAAUAAGAACUUCCAUAAUCUGGCAAAGAGAAAACCACGUUGGCUGAAAACGGUUGUGUUUUCUCCAUGCACCCGAGUUUGAAUCUCCCUCUCCGCAGUUUAUAUUAGUUUAAGGUAAAAUUAAAAUAACAUCUCAGGAACUCUACGGUCCAUGUAAUACUUACUUCAUGAGUCGCAGGAGCAUCAACCUUGAUGACCAUGCACCGGUUUUUCACCGAUUCAAUGACGCGGGUGUCAUUUUGGCAGCAGAGUAUGAGCUUCCACGAUUCCGAGUAACAGUCCAUGAUCCAUUUGAUCAAAUGCUGAAUGUGCGCUGUUGCUUUGUCAACACCGUACAGAACCAUCACUGGAACAAAAAGGAAAAACAUGUUGGGGUUUUGAGAGAAAUAGUUCAAAAGUGUUGGAAGGGAUUUGUGGGUGUUGAGAGAAUUUUGACCUCUAUGAUUUGCCUUGGAAUUUAUAGAGCUGACUUCAUGAGCAA